AUUGAACGCUGGCGGAAUGCUUUACACAUGCAAGUCGAAUGGCAGCACGGGGCAACCUGGUGGCGAGUGGCGAACGGGUGAGUAAUACAUCGGAACGUGCCCAAUCGUGGGGGAUAACGUAGCGAAAGUUACGCUAAUACCGCAUACGAUCUACGGAUGAAAGCGGGGGAUCGCAAGACCUCGCGCGAAUGGAGCGGCCGAUGUCAGAUUAGGUAGUUGGUGGGGUAAAGGCUCACCAAGCCAACGAUCUGUAGCUGGUCUGAGAGGACGACCAGCCACACUGGGACUGAGACACGGCCCAGACUCCUACGGGAGGCAGCAGUGGGGAAUUUUGGACAAUGGCGCAAGCCUGAUCCAGCCAUUCCGCGUGCAGGAUGAAGGCCUUCGGGUUGUAAACUGCUUUUGUACGGAACGAAACGGUUCUCUCUAAUACAGGGGGCUAAUGACGGUACCGUAAGAAUAAGCACCGGCUAACUACGUGCCAGCAGCCGCCGCAGUAA
rnacentral:rRNA from 1 species